rnacentral:rRNA from 1 species
UACAGAGGGUGCGAGCGUUAAUCGGCGUUACUGGGCGUAAAGGGCGCGUAGGCGGUGAGAUGUGUGUGAUGUGAAAGCCCCAGGCUUAACCUGGGAAGUGCAUCGCAAACUGUCUGACUGGAGUACAAGAGAGGGUGGCGGAAUUUCCGGUGUAGCGGUGAAAUGCGUAGAGAUCGGAAGGAACGUCAAUGGCGAAGGCAGCCACCUGGCUUGAUACUGACGCUGAGGCGCGAACGCGUGGGGAGCGAACAGG